CGGGGCGUAGCUCAGCUUGGUAGAGCACCUGGUUUGGGACCAGGGGGUCGUAGGUUCGAAUCCUGUCGCCCCGACCA
rnacentral:tRNA from 1 species